rnacentral:rRNA from 1 species
CCUACGGGCGGCUGCAGUGGGGAAUAUUGCGCAAUGGGCGAAAGCCUGACGCAGCGAAGCCGCGUGAGGGAUGAAGGUCUUCGGAUCGUAAACCUCUGUCAGCAGGGAAGAAAGGUCACUGUGCUAAUCAGCAGUGAAUUGACGGUACCUGCAAAGGAAGAACCAGCUAACUCCGUGACAGCAGCCGCGGUAAUACGGAGGGUGCGAGCGUUAAUUGGAAUUACUGGGCGGAAAGCGAUCGUAGGUGGUAUGUCAAGUCAAGGGUGAAAUCCCCGCGCUCAACGUGGGAACUGCAUUUGAAACUGGCAAACUGGAGUGUGUGAGAGGAUGGUGGAAUUCGUGGUGUAGGAGUGAAAUCCGUAGAUAUCUGGAGGAACAUCAGUGGCGAAGGCGACUAUCUGGCACAUCACUGACGCUGAGGAGCGAAAGCGUGGGUAGCAAACAGGAUUAGAUACCCCAGUAGUC